UACAGAGGGUGCGAGCGUUGUUCGGAAUUAUUGGGCGUAAAGGGCGCGUAGGCGGUGCGGUAAGUCACCUGUGAAAUCUCCUGGCUCAACUGGGAGCUUGCAGGCGAAACUGCCGUGCUGGAGUGUGGGAGAGGUGCGUGGAAUUCCCGGUGUAGCGGUGAAAUGCGUAGAUAUUGGGAAGAACACCAGUGGCGAAGGCGGCUCACUGGACCGGUACUGACGCUGAUGCGCGAAAGCGUGGGGAGCAAACAGG
rnacentral:rRNA from 1 species